UGAGUCGGCAUAGUAUGAGAAAUCAAAGUCUUUGGGUUCCGGGGGGAGUAUGGUCGCAAGGCUGAAACUUAAAGGAAUUGACGGAAGGGCACCACCAGGUGUGGAGCCUGCGGCUUAAUUUGACCCAACACGGGGAAACUUACCAGGUCCAGACAUAGGAAGGAUUGACAGAUUGAGAGCUCUUUCUUGAUUC
rnacentral:rRNA from 16 species